UUCAAACAACCCAUGUUGUCCCAUGAUCUCAACUUCCAAUCCAUUAAUCCUUCUUCGUUGGAGUCCCAGUAAUAUAAUUUUUUAGAUCAAUUUCACACGUAUAAACCUCCAAUUCUUUCUUAUUUAUUCGCAUACCACUCAACAAUUCUCCAAGAGGUAAGUUCAAUGAUUUAUAAUUCUAAAACAUUAAUUUAAUUUCUAGAAAGAGCAACGAAUUUUUUAAUUCUUUCUUCCCUUUACUCCUUGCUUCUCUAGAUCAUGAAUAGAUAUUUAAUAAGAAUAUAGAAAAGCAAUAAACUUUUCCAGUUCUUUCUUCCUUUCACUCAUUGAUUUUCUUUUCUUUCAUUAUUAUAUAGUUUGUUCAGUAGAGAAAGUAACACGCUAUUAAUUUGGAGCUAGGCACAUAUAAAAUGGAAUUAAUUUUUCAGGGCUGAUAAUGAAGAUAGUAAAUUAAGGCUUUCGCACACAUUUGGACUCCUUUAUAAUUAUUGUUCCUUUUUCAAUUCUGUUCUUAUUGUGUUUAAAAAUAUAGUUUUUUCAUUCCUCUAUGGUAGGCAUGGUUAAUCUAAUGAACUAUAAAAUAACCCCAGUAUUUAGUUGAUGACUGGCAUGGUAUCACAUGCCAAAUAAAAAACGAUGAACUUAGGAAUCCCUAAUAAGGUAUGACUGAAUAGAGUGGAGCCAUGGUAAUUCCGUAACAUGAUUUUUAUUUAGAUUUUUUUGUACUCAUCGACUUAUGAGAAAUUUGACAAUGAAAUAUUGGUAAUUUAUAGUUCAAUGAAUAAGCAAUAUUUUUUAGUUACAUAUCAUUUAUGCAGAAAUUUCUUUCUACCGCAAUGGAAGUAAACUGCCUCAUGGACUUCAAAAUUGGCUAAUCGACCUCUUCUUUGGAAUGGAGUGAAUACCAAUGUCAUUCUCAUACUCUUGGCCAAAUUUUGUUGCACCUUUUUAAAUUUUUAUUGAGUCGUAAAUGUAGCAUUCAAUGAUGAUUAAAAUAAAUUUAAAUUUCAUGG
rnacentral:lncRNA from 1 species